rnacentral:misc_RNA from 1 species
CUGAGUUGCAAAACUCCCAAACCCAUGCGUACUUACCUAUGUCGUUGCUUCGGCGGCGUUGCUCUGGGGUGCUUCGGCGCCUCUGGAGCGCCCGCCGGAGGUUACAAACUCUCUGUAUCAUUGUGGACUCUCUGAGAAAACAUACCAAUAAUCA